GAGGGGGCCUCCUUGCACCCCGGACCCUGCUUGCAGGUGGGAGCUGCCGAGCCGGCCACGAGGGUGGUGGAAGGGGCGCUGGACCGAGAGUCAGGAAACCUGGGCUUCAGGAAGGACCCGAUUCCUUGGCCCCCCGGCAUUUGUUUUCCCUCCUCCUCCUCCUGAAAUGUGCUGGAGGUUCAAGUGUGUGGUGUGCAAUUUUUCAAAAUUCUAACAUGGACAUCCUCCUCCUUUUUUUGGGGGGGAGGAGUAAUUCCUUUUCUCCCAAGUACCUACUGCCAGGAAAUGCCUGGAGAUGGUCCCCCCCACCUAGCCCUGCCUAUGAUGGGCCGAAGGGUGAAGGCAGCUGGCUGGGAAGGUUCCUUCCGCUCUGUCCCUCUCUCCAGCUGCUUGGAGAUGUGUGUGAAAUUCAGCUGUGACUCCAGCCGCCAAACAGCAGGCCACUCAGGAGAAACCCCAUUGCAUGAACUCGGAGGAGGCAUCAGCAACACAAAAGCAAAGAAUUGAUUUGGUUGUGGGAUAAAGGAGAAAAAGGCAAGAAUUGCCUUUUGUAUUAGUCUAACUUUUCCUCUCCUUCUGAAUAAAACAUUAUUAUGCAACAAA